UACGGGGGGGGUAAGCGUUGUUCGGAAUUACUGGGCGUAAAGGGCUCGUAGGCGGCCAACUAAGUCAGACGUGAAAUCCCUCAGCUUAACUGGGGAACUGCGUCUGAUACUGGAUGGCUUGGAUUCGGGAGAGGAAUGCGGAAUUCAUGGUGUAGCAGUGAAAUGCGUAGAGAUCAUGAGGAAGACCAGUGGCGAAGGCGGGUCUCUGGACAGUUCCUGACACUGAGGCACGAAGGCCAGGGGAGCAAACGGG
rnacentral:rRNA from 1 species